CUCAUUCGGAUUGGAGUCUGCAACCCGACUCCAUGAAGCUGGAUUCGCUAGUAAUCGCGCAUCAGCCACGGCGCGGUGAAUACGUUCCCGGGCCUUGUACACACCGCCCGUCAAGCCAUGGAAGCCGGGAGUGCCUGAAGUGCGUGAGCGCAAGCAGCGCCCUAAGGUAAAACCGGUGACUGGGGCUAAGUCGUAACAAGGUAUC
rnacentral:rRNA from 1 species